rnacentral:rRNA from 1 species
UGGGGAAUAUUGGACAAUGGGCGCAAGCCUGAUCCAGCAAUACCGCGUGUGUGAAGAAGGCCUUCGGGUUGUAAAGCACUUUCAGUAGGGAAGAAAUAACUAAGGUUAAUACCCUUAGAAGCUGACAUUACCUACAGAAGAAGCACCGGCUAACUCUGUGCCAGCAGCCGCGGUAAUACAGAGGGUGCAAGCGUUAAUCGGAUUUACUGGGCGUAAAGCGCUCGUAGGCGGAUAUUUUAGUCGGAUGUGAAAGCCCCGGGCUCAACCUGGGAACUGCAUUCGAUACUGGAUAUCUAGAGUAUGGUAGAGGAAAGUGGAACUCCCGGUGUAGCGGUGAAAUGCGUAGAUAUCGGGAAGAACACCAGUGGCGAAGGCGACUUUCUGGACCAAUACUGACGCUGAGGAGCGAAAGCGUGGGGAGCAAACAGG